GACAUGCGCAGGCUGGUCUGGAUCCAUGCUGGUCGCAAAGCCACUGUGUUGGUUUUCUCAUGGCAUGGCUCAUAUGUAUCAUGGAGAAUUUCUCUUUUGGACUAUAUGGGUACUGUGUUUGACUAUAUGUGCUGGUUGAAAUGUGUCUGGCUACAAGUGCUGUGUUUGACUAAACUUGCGUGUCAAACAAUAGGUGCUGUGUUGGGCUAUAGGUGCUGAAUGGAACUGUAUGUGCUGUAUUUAACCACAGGUGUUGUAUUGGACUAUAGGUGUUGAGUUGGACUAUAUGCACUAUGCUUGAAUGUGUUGCACUGUAUGCCCUGUAUUGGACUAUUUGUGCUGCAUUUAAUCACAGGUGCUGUAUUGGACUAUAUGUGCUAUAUUUAACCACAGGUGCUGUAUUGGACUAUAGGUGUUGAGUUGGACUAUAUGCACUAUGCUUGAAUGUGUUGCACUGUAUGCCCUGUAUUGGACUAGCUAUAGGUGCUGUAUUGGACUAUAUGUGCUGCAUUUAACCACAGGUGUUGUAUUGGACUGUAUGUGUUGAGUUGGACUAUAUGCACUAUGCUUGAUUUGCACUGUAUGCCCUGUAUUGGACUAGCUAUAGGUGCUGUACUGGACUAUAGGUGUUGAACUGGACAGUACGCACUGUAUUAAACUACGAUGUUUCUCAUUACAGAGCUGGUGCAGCUGUUCUGCGCAUGCCCUGGAUGAUUAUCAAUAGGAGCGCACGGCAAAAUUACGCAAUUUUUUGCAUGUUCACACGCAUCUAGUGUAUAAUAUGUAUAAUAUACUGACUAAAGGUUACGGUUAGUAUCACCAAGGUUACAAAAUAUAUACAUUUAAGAUAUUUUUUGUUCAAAUUUAGUUAAUACAGAAUAUACCGGAGUCUGUAAUAUAUCACGGGCGCACCAACUCUAUUUUUAGUCACAGCCAUUAAACUAUAGGUACUGUAUUGUACUAUAGGUGUUGUGUUAGACUAUAUGCACUAUGCUUGAAUGUGUUGCACUACAGUGUAGCAGUUAUAUUGGACUCUAAGUCCUAUGCCUGAAUGUGCUAGACUAUAGGUGUUGUGUUGGUCUAAAUCUC